rnacentral:rRNA from 1 species
AUUGAACGCUGGCGGCAGGCCUAACACAUGCAAGUCGAGCGGAUGAAGGGAGCUUGCUCCUGGAUUCAGCGGCGGACGGGUGAGUAAUGCCUAGGAAUCUGCCUGGUAGUGGGGGAUAACGUCCGGAAACGGGCGCUAAUACCGCAUACGUCCUGAGGGAGAAAGUGGGGGAUCUUCGGACCUCACGCUAUCAGAUGAGCCUAGGUCGGAUUAGCUAGUUGGUGGGGUAAAGGCCUACCAAGGCGACGAUCCGUGACUGGUCUGAGAGGAUGAUCAGUCACACUGGAACUGAGAAACGGUCCAGACUACUACGGGAGGCAGCAGUGGGGAAUAUUGGACAUUGGGCGAAAGCCUGAUCCAGCAAUGCCGCGUGUGUGAAGAAGGUCUUCGGAUUGUAAAGCACUUUAAGUUGGGAGGAAGGGCAGUAAGUUAAUACCUUGCUGUUUUGACGUUACCAACAGAAUAAGCACCGGCUAACUUCGUG